UACGAAGGGGGCUAGCGUUGUUCGGAUUUACUGGGCGUAAAGCGCACGUAGGCGGAUCUUUAAGUCAGAGGUGAAAUCCCAAGGCUCAACCUUGGAACUGCCUUUGAUACUGGGGAUCUUGAGUCCGGGAGAGGUGAGUGGAACUGCGAGUGUAGAGGUGAAAUUCGUAGAUAUUCGCAGGAACACCAGUGGCGAAGGCGGCUCACUGGCCCGGUACUGACGCUGAGGUGCGAAAGCGUGGGGAGCAAACAGG
rnacentral:rRNA from 1 species